UACGUAGGUGGCAAGCGUUGUCCGGAUUUACUGGGCGUAAAGCGAACGCAGGCGGACUAUUAAGUAAGAAGUGAAAGGUUGGAGCUCAACUCCGACACUGCUCCUUAUACUGGUAGUCUUGAGUCUUGGAGAGGAAAGCGGAACGACACGUGUAGCGGUGAAAAUGCGUUUGAUAUGUGUCGGAACACCGAUGGCGAAAGCAG
rnacentral:rRNA from 1 species